GUUCUCGGUUAAUAAUUUUCAAAACCAGUAAAACCUUUGAAGUCGCGAUUGUGAUAGAAGCCUUAUAAGUAUAAACUAUAUUAACACCGGAAAUCAAAAUGAAAUAUUUACAAUUCCUUGCUUUAUUCGUUGUUAUAUUCGUUAUCACAACAUCUGCUAUGCCUGCAGAACCUUCAGAUAUUCCUUCUUCGUUAAAGCAGGGUACAAGAAUCACUAGAGCUGUAUC